AUAGUUGAAUUGUUUGCAUCAGAGGAUAAUGUUUUGCAAGGUUUGUUUUACCAGGACAAGGAAAUGCUGCAAAACUUUGAAAAUUACCCAGAAAUUCUCUUCAUUGAUUCUACAUUUAAGGUGAAUAAUCUGAGAAUGCCUUUAUAUGUUUUCCUUGUUGAAGACAGUAUGGGUCAGUCAGAAGUUGCUGGACUUUGUUUCUUAGCAGCUGAAGAACAACAGCUUGUUGAUCACAUGGGGAACCUAUUCAAAAAAUUUAAUCCAUCAUAUCAGAAAAUGAAAAUGAUAAUGGCCGAUAAAGACUUUAUUGGAAGAGAGACAUUCAGAUCAGUUUUUCCUCAUAGUUCUCUCCUAAUUUGUAGAUUUCGUGUACUGAAAAUAUUUCGACGUGAAAUAACAGUAGAAAAGAUGGGAAUAACUAAUCCAGAAACUUGUUUACAGUAGAACUGAGGAGGACUAUGAGGAGGUGUACAAGGAAAUAGAAGAGAUGUGUCCUUCAGCAGUCAUUGGAUACAUUAAAAGCAACUGGCAUGGAAUUAGAAAAGAAUGGGUGUCAGGUAUGCAAUUGGAUGAAGAAUCAUUUUUAAAUGCUACCAAUAACAGACUAGAAAGCUUUAACCAGAAGUUAAAAUCUGUUGUUUGUACCAAUGCGACCCUAGAUGACUUUUUUUGACAAGUUUCGACCUCUCAUUAGAACAUUACGAAAUGAAAGGGACCAUGCAGGAGCAGUUGAACUGCAAAAGGCACGUGUUUGUCAGUUCAAAGAUGGCUCCCCUGAGAAAAAGUACAUCACCUAUUUGACAGAUUAUGCUGCAAAAUUUGUUUUGAUAAAUAUCAAAAAGUGUAAAAAAAUGCAAAAUAGUACAGAAGAAGACACAGGAAUUCUGUAUUAUGAGGAUUCUUAUGGAAAAAUUGUGUUGAAUGACAAAAAAUGUUCCUGUAUAUUUAAUAGAUCAAUGUCACUUCCUUGUGAACAUAUCCUUGUUACAAGGUUAUUUUUGGGGCUAGAUUUGGUUUGAUGCAUCUCUUUGCAGCAUGAGAUGGACACUUUCUUAUUAUCUACAAAAAAUGAGAAUGCUGACAACAGACAAAAAUGUGGAAGGACACGUUAUCUGUUCCACUGUGAAAGAAAAAAAUGUGCCAUUGUCAGAACAUCAAAAGUACAGAAAGGCAUCAGUCAUAACAAACCAGCUUGCAUCCCUGUGUGCUGAAGUAUCUAUGGUAGAAUAUAAGAAGAGAAUAGAGCAGUUUAAUCAACUACUGACAAGCUGGAGAUCACUAGGCAAUAGUAUAAUAUCAGAUACUUCAGUCAGUGAAGAUAUUUUAAGUGGAUGUGACCAACCAGGAUUUGCAAACAGGACAGCAGAUAACAAUACACCAUAUAACAGUACACCAAUUUCUGCGAAUGUUUUGCAUGAACAAGAUAAUCACGAGGCAGAUCCAAUUUAUAGCAAGAAUGAUGGACAAUAUGCUGGUAAAAGUACAAACUCUACAACAGUUAUACUGCAAGGACAAACAGAUCCAAUAUGUCGGCCUUCAACAAGUAGGAUUAAUAAUGAAAGGG